GAUGAACGCUGGCGGCGUGCCUAAUACAUGCAAGUCGAACGGGGAGUAGCAAUACUCUUAGUGGCGAACGGGUGAGUAACGCGUUGGUACCUGCCCCGAAGCGGGGGAUAACGGACCGAAAGGUCCGCUAAUACCCCAUGUGCUCGGUAACGAGUAAAGGUGAAAACCACUUUGGGAGGGGCAUGCGUCCCAUCAGCUAGUUGGUAAGGUAACGGCUUACCAAGGCGAUGACGGGUAGGGGACCUGAGAGGGUGGCCCCCCACAAUGGAACUGAAACACGGUCCAUACACCUACGGGUGGCAGCAGUAGGGAAUAUUGGUAAUGGGCGCAAGACUGAACCAGCAACGCCGCGUGUGCGAUGACGGCCUUCGGGUUGUAAAGCACUUUUGACAGGGACGAGGAAGGACGGUACCGGUAGAAUCAGCCUCGGCUAACUACGUG
rnacentral:rRNA from 1 species